rnacentral:rRNA from 1 species
CCUUGCCAGCCCGCUCAGAAACUCAAAGGAAUUGACGGGGGCCGCACAAGCGGUGGAGCAUGUGGUUUAAUUCGAUGAUACGCGAGGAACCUUACCUGGGCUCAAAUGUAUGUUGACGUAUUCUGAAAGGGAUACUUCUUCGGACAAUAUACAAGGUGCUGCAUGGUUGUCGUCAGCUCGUGCCGUGAGGUGUCGGGUUAAGUCCCAUAACGAGCGCAACCCCUAUCAUUAGUUGCCAUCAGGUCAAGCUGGGGACUCUAAUGAAACUGCCUACGCAAGUAGUGAGGAAGGUGGGGAUGACGUCAAAUCAGCACGGCCCUUACGUCCAGGGCUACACACGUGCUACAAUGGCCGGUACAAAGGGCAGCUACCUGGUGACAGGAUGCUAAUCUCAAAAGCCGGUCUCAGUUCGGAUCGGAGUCUGCAACCCGACUCCGUGAAGUUGGAUUCGCUAGUAAUCGCGCAUCAGCCAUGGCGCGGUGAAUACGUUCCCGGGCCUU